rnacentral:snoRNA from 1 species
CUGCUGCGACCCGGCGUGCGGACGUGGGUGCGGCGCGUUUGUCUUUUGUCGACCGCGCGCGUGUGCGCGCAG